rnacentral:rRNA from 1 species
AACCCCUCGCUGCCACGUUGCAACCGGGUGAAGCCGGGCACUCUGGCGGGACUGCCAUCGACAAGAUGGAGGAAGGUGGGGAUGACGUCAAGUCAUCAUGGCCCUUAUGUCCAGGGCGACACACGUGCUACAAUGGCCGGCACAGCGGGAAGGCGAGGCAGUGAUGCCAAGCGGAUCCCUUAAAGCCGGUCUCAGUUCGGAUUGAAGUCUGCAACUCGACUUCAUGAAGCUGGAAUCGCUAGUAAUCGCAGAUCAGCCAAGCUGCGGUGAAUACGUUCCCGGGCCUU